rnacentral:tRNA from 1 species
UCCCUGGUAGCUCAGAGUUAAAGCAUCUGCCUGUAAUGCAGGAGACCUGGGUUCGAAGCCUGGGUCAGGAAG